rfam:Trichobilharzia regenti genome assembly, scaffold: TRE_scaffold0064402
GUACUGAUGAAGAGUCGCAAACUAGGAUGAAACAGCUGUCCAGUAC